ACUGCAAAAAACUUUCGUCUGAAGUGGGCCAUAGCUUAUCUGAGCUGCAUAGGUCACCACGAAUCAUCUUCUGAUACGUUGUCCGGUUUUUAAAAAUCUUUUAUCAUUUCAAUAUGGCUUUUAGUAAUUCCUUGGGCAUUGACACUCUCUAGCCAACAAAGAAACUACGUUUUUCACGUUACUUUUAUCAAUUUUUUCAUAGUUGUACAUUUAGUUGAUUAUAGAGAAAAUCUUGCCAUUCAUACAAAUUCCUUUGUCUGAUCUGAUCGUGUCAACAUGCUAAUCCCUUCUUGCCACUGGCAGAAGCCAUUUUGUCAAAUUUUGCAUCUUUCCAAAAUUUAAUCACACGCAAGCAUUCUGGCAUGUGUCAGGCAACGGGUUACAGGAAUGGCAUGGUCCCCUUUUGGUGUUGAGCCUGGCCUACACCCUCAGUUAUUGAAAAUGGUGUCGGAACAAGUUAUUACAUGGAGCUGGAGCGUCAAUUUGGGACUUGAUUUGUCAUCUGUUGGUUGACAUGGGAAAACACAGAUUGGACCCACCAUUUUAUACCCACACUUAUCAUUGGAAUUCUGGGAUGGUAGCUGUUGUUGCAGGACACUCCUUGAUUCGUUAGUGAGGUUCCAGAAAGCAGCAUUCCAAGAGCAAGAAUACUAUUUGCCAGCUGUCAACACAAUAUAGAUUGUUUAACUUUGUUUUCUUGCCUUGGUGGUGAAUUUGAAUUAUAUUGAGAUUUAAAAAAUUUUGAAGCUAUUUGCGUACUAGUGAGAAAACAUGUGAAGAGUUGCUGAAAUGUGUCAACAGAGCAAAAUGCAAAACAUGGAUUAAA